GCUCGCUGCGCGCAGCCUCGUCCCCGCGUGCUCUCGCGCGCUUCCUCUCGCCCGCUCUGCUCUUUUUGGUUACUCAGGGGCACGCGCAGCGUUUCGCGCGACGAUUGGCUGCCUCGGUGGCGGCGCCACAGGACCGGGCAACUACGCGAGCGGAGUGGGCGCUUAAGGAUCCCGCGGCUCCUCAGAUAUAGCCAUAUUUGUCUUGCACAAGAGAGCUCAGUGGGAAGUGAACGCGCACCAGUAGAUGAGCAGCUGACUAUGAAUUCUGAGCAGAGCAUACGCGAAUUAGGCAAUGAAGUCCCAUCUGAGGACCUUGAACUACCAGGAAGAAAACCCAGCAAUUUUCAGGUCCUCCAACCUUGUCGGGAUGAAGGGGCAUCUGCAGAGUGCAGUAUUGUGGAAUGUGGGAAGAAUUACGAACCUGUGAUUUCUCAUCAAGUUAUCCCAGACUUAAAUAAAGAGACAUCAGUAGCAUAUCUUCAAAAAGAAUUGGAAAUUCUCAGAGCAAGCAAUACAAGCUUCAAGAAAAAUUGGCUAAGGAAGAUAAAGAGAAGAGAAGACUGAAGCUUAAGUUGGAACUCCAAGAGAAAGCCGCGGAGGCUGACAUUGCGGAAAGGACUGCAGGUAGUGGAUGAGUGUUCACAUUAAGCUCGAAGGUGAUUGUGUGAUGUGUACUGGUGGAUACCAGCUCAUUGCCUUGUUUGCCAAGGGAGGAGAAGCUUUUUUUCCCUUUUGGCUGCUUAGAAAAUAGGUGGCUUUAACAUCCUGGUACUGGUAUUAGUGAGGGCUUUACCUGUAUUCACACUGAUUUGGGCAUUAAAUGCAUUGUUAACACCAUGUCAAUCCAAUCACAAAAAGGUUGUUUGUUUUGUUGGAAGGGCCUGAACAAACAAGGGGAAAUCAUGAUUACCAGUGUCUCUGCCUUUCAACCAGCAGUUCACAUACCACUUACUGUUUUAGUUCUCAGAGAGGAAGUACUUCUCCUUUUUAUUAAGGUAGUCCUAUAUUCAUUACCAAUGGAAGCCUACAUUUGAUUAAAAAAAGCCUGUUUCAUGCAGUUAAUAGGUUAAUGUCUGAUGAUGCAGGUGAUGAUAGAGGGGGAAUGUUUCCCUGAGAUUAAAGAGAAAGGAUGUGUCAGUUUAAUCUUGCACAUAACUGCCGUAUAUUUUGGAAACUAUCUUCUCAUGCACAGGUCUUUGC
rnacentral:lncRNA from 1 species